AGAGGGAGCUUCCCCAGGGGGGUCUCAGCUGGAUUAUGAUAACGUGGAGGAGCCUGCCUUGAACGACGUCCCCCAGACUCCAGACGGCCGAGAUGCCCCUGCCCUGCCUGGAGAUGUCCCAGGGGAUGGUUAUGAUGAUGCCAGAGAAGUGUCUGAUCCUGAAGGUGACCCUGGUUUGGGGCAGAAUGAUGAGGAAGGCACUGGGGUGAGUGACAGGAGCAGGGAUUCACAGACAGGUUGGAAUCUGCACUCGCUAGGGAAUGAAGGUGUCUCUGUGACAGAGAAAGAAACCCUGUCCCUGCCUCUUGGAGACACAAGUUAUGAUGAUGUGGGACAUGGUGACUCUGGGGGAUCAGUAU